rnacentral:rRNA from 1 species
GUCAUAUGCUUGUCUCAAAGAUUAAGCCAUGCAUGUCUCAGUACAAGCCAAAUUAAGGUGAAACCGCGAAAGGCUCAUUAAAUCAGUUAUGGUUCCUUAGAUCGUACCCACAAUUACUUGGAUAACUGUGGUAAUUCUAGAGCUAAUACAUGCAAAUAGAGCUCCGACCGGAGACGGAAGGAGUGCUUUUAUUAGAUCAAAACCAAUCGGUGGCGGGUUCGCGCUCGUCAUCGUACAACUUGGUGACUCUGAAUAACUUUACGCUGAUCGCACGGUCAUCGCACCGGCGACGCAUCUUUCAAAUGUCUGCCUUAUCAACUGUCGAUGGUAGGUUCUGCGCCUACCAUGGUUGUAACGGGUAACGGGGAAUCAGGGUUCGAUUCCGGAGAGGGAGCCUGAGAAACGGCUACCACAUCCAAGGAAGGCAGCAGGCGCGCAAAUUACCCACUCCCGGCACGGGGAGGUAGUGACGAAAAAUAACGAUACGGGACUCAUCCGAGGCCCCGUAAUCGGAAUGAGUACACUCUAAACCCUUUAACGAGGAUCAAUUGGAGGGCAAGUCUGGUGCCAGCAGCCGCGG